GAUGAACGCUAGCUACAGGCUUAACACAUGCAAGUCGAGGGACCGGCGCACGGGUGAGUAACACGUAUCCAACCUACCCUUUACUCGGGGAUAGCCUUUCGAAAGAUAGAUUAAUACACGAUGAAAAGGAUGGGGAUGCGUUACAUUAGGUUGUAGGUGAGGUAACGGCUAACCAAGCCUUCGAUGGUUAGGGGUUCGGAGAGGAAGGCCCCCUACAAUGGAACGGAGGCACAGUCCAAACUGCGACGGGGGGCAGGAGUGUAUUGUAUAGGUGAAGGGACGCUAGCCUGAACCUGCCAAGUAGAGUGAAGGAUGAAGAGUUAUUGGUGGUAUACUUGUUUUAUAUAAGGAGAUUUACUAUAAGAAUAAGGAUCGGCUAACUCCGUGCCAGCAGCCGCGGUAAUAC
rnacentral:rRNA from 1 species